rnacentral:rRNA from 1 species
CCCUUAGAUGUUCUGGGCUGCACGCGCGCUACACUGAUGCGCUCAACGAGUUUACGAACUUGCCCGGAAGGGUUGGUUAAUCUUUUUAAAACGCAUCGUGAUGGGGAUAGAUUAUUGCAAUUAUUAAUCUUCAACGAGGAAUUCCUAGUAAGCGCGAGUCAUCAGCUCGCACUGAUUACGUCCCUGCCCUUUGUACACACCGCCCGUCGCUACUACCGAUUGAAUGGUUUAGUGAGAACUCGGGACUGGCACUAAGGGGCUGGCAACAGCCUAUUAGAGCCGGGAACUUGCUCAAACUUGAUCAUUUAGAGGAAGUAAAAGUCGUAACA